rnacentral:rRNA from 1 species
AGUGAACGCUGGCGGUAGGCCUAACACAUGCAAGUCGAACGGCAGCACAGUAAGAGCUUGCUCUUACGGGUGGCGAGUGGCGGACGGGUGAGGAAUACAUCGGAAUCUACUUUUUCGUGGGGGAUAACGUAGGGAAACUUACGCUAAUACCGCAUACGACCUACGGGUGAAAGCAGGGGAUCUUCGGACCUUGCGCGAUUGAAUGAGCCGAUGUCGGAUUAGCUAGUUGGCGGGGUAAAGGCCCACCAAGGCGACGAUCCGUAGCUGGUCUGAGAGGAUGAUCAGCCACACUGGAACUUGGACACGGUCCAGACUCCUAAGGGAGGCAGCAGUGGGGAAUAUUGGACAAUGGGCGCAAGCCUGAUCCAGCCAUACCGCGUGGGUGAAGAAGGCCUUCGGGUUGUAAAGCCCUUUUGUUGGGAAAGAAAAGCAGCAGGUUAAUACCCCGCUGUUCUGACGGUACCCAAAGAAUAAGCACCGGCUAACUUCGUG